rnacentral:lncRNA from 1 species
UUACAACUUUUGGCUCAAAUUAACUCUCAGAAUUGUUGCAAUCAAAUUAUUUAACCCAAUUUAAUUGAUUAAAUAUUAAUAUAUCGUUAAUAUAAGGACUUGUUUGGUUCAAGAGUAGAAUUAGAAUGGAUAAUAAAAUGAGAAUGAAUUGGAAUGACAAUUGGAUUGCCCUACUCCCUCAAGACGUUUGGUUCAUUUCUGGAAUGGAAAUCGGAAUGAAUUAUUUCUAUUUCACUAUUGGUUGAAACAAAGUAAAAAACUAAUAGAAUAACAUAAUACUAAUUUUACUUUUAAAUAUGAUUUUAUAAAACUAUCUAAAAUUUGUAAACAAAAAUUAAUACUACUCCCAAGUUAGAGCUAUGCCAAAAAAAAAAAGAAUUUGUUUUAAAAAAUUUUAUGCAAGAAAUUACAAAAAAAAAAUUAUAAUAAAAAAUAAUAUAUUACGUUUUUUUUUAAAAUAAAAUUAUAAUAAAAAUAAUAUAUCACGUUUUUUAAAUGAUAAGAAAAGAGGAAAAAGAUUGGUACAGAGAAAGAAAGGAUGGAUAAAAUAAAGAAACGUUGGGCUAGGCGGAGGAAAAGGUGAGUGUGGGUUUCGGAUUGAAACUUCAAUCCGGGCUUGGAGACCGGAAUCAAUUUGUAAGCUAAUGGACUAUUCCCAUUCCGAUCCGGAAUGGAAGUUCCAAACCGAUUCCUGUGAACCAAAUAAUAAAAUUAACAUGAUUUGAUCAAACCGAUUCCCAUUCCGGAUCCAAAAUGUACGAACCAAAUAUGCCCUAAAAGUGAUAUAAUAAUAUUAUAAUUGAUGAUGCGUCAGCAAUUAAGAUGCUGCAUCACUUUUAUAUCAACAUUUAAUCAAUUAAAUUGGGUUGUGAAACUUGAUUGCAAUAAUUUUGAAAGUUCAAACAAAAAAUUACAACAAAUUAAAGUUGAAGGACCAAACCG